ACGCGCGCACACACGUUCUCUCUCUCCCACCCUCUUUGAACCUCUAAAGCUCCACCCUCGACCCCUGCCACGACAAAGGGGACUACCUGCAGGCAAAAGGGGCGCUGAGGUCUCGGAGAGUUCAAAUCCAUCCAUCUUCAUCACUACGAGAAAGUAAACGUUAGUUUACUGCUGUACAUAACCUUCGUUCAUGACAGGAGCUUCUUCAGGACAGAGGACAAGAGAAGAAAGGAGGAACGAGAAGUGGAAGACAAAAGCAAGGCGAUAAUUGGGAGUCAGAGAGGUUAUCGGAGGAAGAAAGUUUGACCCCAGGGUGGGAUUACCCCCAAACACACUCGGACCAGCCAAAAGUCCAGAGACGUGAGUGCUGCAGGCCAAAACGUGUCCCACCAUUCACCCACCAGUCUUUUAUUAGAGGACGAUGUGUGUGGACGGCUAUCUCUUGUGUGAUGCAGUAGAGAAACAAUUUGAGUUAAAAAAAACUAACAUUAUAGUCUCCAUAUAAUCUAACUAUUAAGUCACUUUUACCUUUGACCUGCACAGUGCUUUUAAGGAAAGCCUGCACCUUUAAGAUUAAGAACGUUUGGGAUAUUUCGAGCAGAUCACAAGUCAAAGGGCCAAACCAGCUUCAGACACACCAGCCAGCAAGUCAGGAAUGUAAAUUAUUUUUAUCUAACUGCCAUUAUCUAAAUGUUAGCCAAUGGACGGGCCGGUCCACAGGGAGGACGGAAAUAUCUCUCCGGUUUUGCUAACAUUAGCUAAGCUACUUCACAUGCCAAGUAAGGGAGCUGAGAACAGUGGCUUUUAAUGCGUAAGGGUUUCACUUCUUGUUUGUAGAGUACUGUAAAAAGUGAAAAGCUGACAAAACACCUCCACCUCCAAGUUUGAAUGUAGAAUUGUUGCUUAUAUAUCCAUGUAAAAUAUAUGCAUAUAUUUGAAGUUAUGUUUAUGUAUGUUAUGAUUUAAAGACCCUAACCCUCUCGAUCGUAUUAGCUCUGUUUUGGUCUCACCGAAACCUCGCAGAAAAUAUCAGCUAAAUAUUGCUUCUUAUUGCGCCAUUGAGUUCAAUAUCUAUUCGCAUAUACAAUAGCUUCAUUAAAGCUUGUUCUCUAAAAAACAGCUGCUGGAAAUCAUUAAUAAGAGCCGUGUGACUUAAAAAAAACAAAUGCCCUUUGCCGUGAAAUGAAUUUGAAGCAGUCCAAGUGGUGCGUGAGUGCAGCACGGACUCUGCAGCAGGAGGGCUGAUUGGCCUAAUGGGCGACAGGCUGCCUGCCGAUACACAGGUUGUUAACACAAUAAGCAUUUGACUCUCUACACGUCCUGGAUGAACUCCUGACUGCUGCACACAAGUGCACUCAUUGUCACAGUGCACGGCCUCGACCGUAUUUGAUGAUAAAAGAAUGCAUUGUUUGGAGCAGCGAGGAGGUCAGAGGUGAACAUCUGCAGAAGUACUUCUGUCAUACCACAUAAAAUGCCUUUUUUAUGUGGAUAAUUUCAUUAGUACAUGAAAACUAGUGACUUUGCCAUGACCGUUUCCAACAUUUGAGAUGACAGUAUUCAUGCUUUUUUAAAGUCAGCUGAGAUCAUUUGAGAUAAACUGCUUUGUGCCAAACCAACUAUGCCAGUCGAUCAGUUCUUCAGAAGAAGUUGCUAUUCUAUUCACAUCCAUUCAUGAUCAUGCGUGCGCAGGCCACAGGGCAUUUGUGUGACUUUGGGUGUGCGUGUGUGUGUGUGUGUGUGUGUGUGUCAGCAUGUGGUGAGUUGGGGCUGUUUGCUCAGCUGUAAGUGUUGUCCUGAGUGCAAACAACACGUGUUGCUUCCCACAUCGACUCAUCUCCUCCUGCAAUACGAAUGUAAAUGAAACACACAGGAGGCACAAUGGGGGGGGGGGGGGUCUUUCACACGUCUGAUUCCCGAACAGAUCGGAAUGAAAGACAACCUUCAGAGGAAUGGGACAGGAAAAUAUUAUCUCAUCAUGUUCCGUCCGCGGGCCGCUGGCAGAGUACCAUCUAUUGACAUGCGCCCACUGAAGUGGCAUCACAGAAUUCACUGUUGUUCAGAACAGCAAAGUCAAAUGAUAUUUUCCUGUGUUUGUAUCCAAUGUUUUGCAGGCUGAUUUCUCCAAAAGCAUAGUUUACAUAGCCCGAUUUAAAUGUGUCCUUUUACUCCCUAAAAGUAUCUGGGACGUGUAUCUUCAUCGUGGUACAUUUUUCCCAAGUGUCCUGCGCACAUUUUAUCCUCUUUUAGUCAUAGAAGUAAAAACAUUUGAGGGGCUUUCUUAAGCUUCAGAGCUUUCCAACCCUGCAAGACGUUCCUAAGGGAACUACAGACGGUACCGAAUGCUCUGACACAUUCUUCAAUGACGCAGAGAUGAAAGGACACUGAGAUAUGAAUGGAGUGGACCCUAAAGGUUUCAAGUAAUUACCGCUAAAAGACAGAAAGGCGUUUCAGAUUCGGAACAGAUUUUGAUCAAAUUAAACUUAAUUUGAGGUGAUUCAGUUAUGAGCAGCGGUUUCACUUCCAUCUAAACUUCUAUUUAUAGGUUCCCUUCAGUUGACACGAGACACAGAAGUUGCAGUUUGUUUAAAGCCUGAGUUUAAGGGGUCACAGUGUGAUGUAAGUACUGUGCACUGGGAAAACCCCAACAGUGGUUCAAGUGUCAUACAAAAUACUCUUUUUGUAUACUGGAACAGCCUUGGUAAACAAUUUUCAUCAUAAGAACAUGUGAUAUGUAAUACACUUGGAUAUUACUGUACAGACGCUAAUUCAAAAUAGGAAAUUUAAAACAUAACGAUGCAGCAAUUCACAUCUUCAGCAUGUGGAGCACUAUACUAUGACUUCAGCAAACAUCGGGCCGUGACUGCAAUACCAUGAUGGUCCACCGAGGGUACACAUGAUAUUCAUGGUGCCGAUGGUUUCACAGUGUUGCACUUAGCUACAGGUAACGGU
ensembl:lncRNA